GAUGAACGCUGGCGGCGUGCCUAAUACAUGCAAGUCGAGCGAACAGACGAGGAGCUUGCUCCUCUGACGUUAGCGGCGGACGGGUGAGUAACACGUUGAUAACCUACCUAUAAGACUGGGAUAACUUCGGGAAACCGGAGCUAAUACCGGAUAAUAUAUUGAACCGCAUGGUUCAAUAGUGAAAGACGGUUUUGCUGUCACUUAUAGAUGGAUCCGCGCCGCAUUAGCUAGUUGGUAAGGUAACGGCUUACCAAGGCAACGAUGCGUAGCCGACCUGAGAGGGUGAUCGGCCACACUGGAACUGAGACACGGUCCAGACUCCUACGGGAGGCAGCAGUAGGGAAUCUUCCGCAAUGGGCGAAAGCCUGAAGGAGCAACGCCGCGUGAGUGAUGAAGGUCUUCGGAUCGUAAAACUCUGUUAUUAGGGAAGAACAAAUGUGUAAGUAACUAUGCACGUCUUGACGGUACCUAAUCAGAAAGCCACGGCUAACUACGUG
rnacentral:rRNA from 1 species